rnacentral:rRNA from 1 species
AUUGAACGCUGGCGGCAGGCCUAACACAUGCAAGUCGAACGGUAACAGAAAGCAGCUUGCUGCUUUGCUGACGAGUGGCGGACGGGUGAGUAAUGUCUGGGAAACUGCCUGAUGGAGGGGGAUAACUACUGGAAACGGUAGCUAAUACCGCAUAACGUCGCAAGACCAAAGAGGGGGACCUUCGGGCCUCUUGCCAUCGGAUGUGCCCAGAUGGGAUUAGCUAGUAGGUGGGGUAACGGCUCACCUAGGCGACGAUCCCUAGCGGGUCUGAGAGGAUGACCAGCCACACUGGAACUGAGACACGGUCCAGACUCCUACGGGAGGCAGCAGUGGGGAAUAUUGCACAAUGGGCGCAAGCCUGAUGCAGCCAUGCCGCGUGUAUGAAGAAGGCCUUCGGGUUGUAAAGUACUUUCAGCGAGGAGGAAGGUGUUGUGGUUAAUAACCACAGCAAUUGACGUUACUCGCAGAAGAAGCACCGGCUAACUCCGUGCCAGCAGCCGCAGUAA